AAAUGGGGCGUAGCCAAGUGGUAAGGCAACGGGUUUUGGUCCCGCUAUUCGGAGGUUCGAAUCCUUCCGUCCCAG
rnacentral:tRNA from 1 species